UACGUAGGUGGCAAGCGUUGUCCGGAUUUACUGGGCGUAAAGAGCGCGCAGGCGGUCGUUCAAGGCGCGUGUGAAAGCCCCCGGCUCAACUGGGGAGGGUCACGCGAUACUGAUCGACUUGAAGGCAGGAGAGGGUAGUGGAAUUCCCGGUGUAGUGGUGAAAUGCGUAGAUAUCGGGAGGAACACCAGUGGCGAAGGCGACUACCUGGCCUGUUCUUGACGCUGAGGCGCGAAAGCUAGGGGAGCAAACGGG
rnacentral:rRNA from 1 species